rnacentral:rRNA from 1 species
GUCGAGCGAACAGAUGAGAAGCUUGCUUCUCUGAUGUUAGCGGCGGACGGGUGAGUAACACGUGGGUAACCUACCUAUAAGACUGGGAUAACUCCGGGAAACCGGGGCUAAUACCGGAUAAUAUUUUGAACCGCAUGGUUCAAUAGUGAAAGACGGUUUCGGCUGUCACUUAUAGAUGGACCCGCGCCGUAUUAGCUAGUUGGUAAGGUAACGGCUUACCAAGGCGACGAUACGUAGCCGACCUGAGAGGGUGAUCGGCCACACUGGAACUGAGACACGGUCCAGACUCCUACGGGAGGCAGCAGUAGGGAAUCUUCCGCAAUGGGCGAAAGCCUGACGGAGCAACGCCGCGUGAGUGAUGAAGGUCUUCGGAUCGUAAAACUCUGUUGUUAGGGAAGAACAAAUUUGUUAGUAACUGAACAAGUCUUGACGGUACCUAACCAGAAAGCCACGGCUAACUACGUGCCAGCAGCCGCGGUAAUACGUAGGUGGCAAGCGUUAUCCGGAAUUAUUGGGCGUAAAGCGCGCGUAGGCGGUUUCUUAAGUCUGAUGUGAAAG